GCCGCCCCUUCUGCCGACCCUGAAGCCGCCGCUCCUGCUGACCCUGAAGCCGCCCCUUCUGCCGACCCUGAAGCCGCCGCUCCUGCCGACCCCUCUGCGAAUUAGCUGUACCGGGCUCGCGCCCAAAAAGUUUGUACUUAUGUCAGUCCUUCGAACUUGUUUUGCGUUGGCCAUACGGGCCUGUUCUUAUGACUUCUCGUUGCAUGCCAAA
rnacentral:lncRNA from 1 species